ensembl:lncRNA
CUGGUUCCCACCUUGGGACAUGACUUAGGCUUGUAGGUGUUGUUUUGCAGACCCCAGACAUAGAGCUUUACCUUUCGGAUGGAUGAAGGCAAAUUCAUACAUUAAACCAAUAUGACAGCAAGAGAAUCUUUAUCUUUCUGCACUGAACGAGACCAGGAUCACCCAGUUCAAAUGCUUGUAAGAACUCUGCCUCGGUUAAUUAAUCAGCAAACCAGACCUCUUCGUUGAAUUCAGUUCUUAUCAGCAGAGACUACGGCUUUCAAUAGAACAGUGUGCAGUUGACAAGGAUGUGCUUCAGAGCUUCUUUUAAUUAAAAGCCUUUUUAAUAUGAAACCUGUAUUUCUGAUUUGAUAUUUAAAAAAAAGCUUAUAUUAUUGUAGCUUCAGUUCCAAGUAGAACUUCACUGCUGAUCAGCUCUGAGGCCUUGAGCUAGUUCAGCUAAGCUCUCAGAUUUUUGUACAGACAACCCCAAAGAGUUAUGAGAUGUAGUCCCCACACAGGGCAAAUGUAGGACUCUGACAUCACCAUCCCUAGACCACUUUCUCUGUGUCGUUCCCCGUCCUCCCUGGGCAGAGGUUUGGGCCCAGAGCCACGCCCACUCUCCCCCCCCCAUGCCACCCCAACUGGCAUGAAGAACAUGCAGAGAUCAGUAUACAAAAUAGCAUGGACUGGGUCAUCACAACUGAGUGAAAACAUACACGUCAUUCUGGAUUCAUUCACUUGUCAGACAUCCAAUGAAACAGGUGGCUCAGUGGUAAAGAAUCCACCUGCCAAUGCAGGAGACUCGGGUUCAACCCCUGGGUCAGGAAGAUCCCUCAGAGAAGAUGGCAACCCACUCCAGUAUGCUUGCCUGGGCAAUCCCAUGCACAGAGGGGCCUGGAGGGCUACAGUCCAUGGAGUUGUGAAAGAGUAGGACACAACUGAGGGUGCACACACCAUAUGCCCAGCUCUUUCUUGGGCCUCAGUCAUUAACUGUGUGCCAGGCAGACUUAAGACAGACUCUUUCUUGGGCUUCUGUACAACUCAACUUGUAUACACUCUGUAGAUGCGCAACUAACCAAACCCACAGCAGAUACAUUAAAAAAAAAAAAAAAAAGGAUAGAAUUAAGAUUGUGGUGGGAGAGGAACAGACAGUAAACCAGCAAACAAAGAAGUCAGUAAGAGGAGUUCAGUUGCUGGCCAGCGUGAUGCCAAAAAGAAGGCUGGUGAAAGAGUGGCUGAAGAACGCGAUUUGGAGACAUUUUUGUUUUUGUUUGUUACACUUUCUGCAUUUUCCAAGUGUGCCACAAUGAAGGUGUAUUAAUUUUGAAAUCUGAAUGAAAUUAAGGAAGGAAAAACCACUCCACACUCCAGGGAAAGUCACCCAGAAGGGAGAAGUGGCUGGUGAGAGAUUCCCCCGCUCUUUCCCCACUUUCUAGCCUGUCGUCACUGUGCUGUGUUUAUGUGUGAC